rnacentral:other from 1 species
UGCAUACUGGUUCAUUCGUUUAUAUAUAAGUUAUUUUUUGAACCUAUAAUUUUUAAUAAGGUGAUUUUCCUCUGUUAAUGUUGUGCAUUACCUUUUUUUAAGAGAAGCCUGAUUUAGCAUGAUAUUCACCACCUGGACAACGGGUUCGGGGAUUAUAUGUGACGGUGAAUCGGUUCUAUG